rnacentral:rRNA from 1 species
UACGUAGGGGGCAAGCGUUAUCCGGAUUUACUGGGUGUAAAGGGUGCGUAGGUGGUAUGGUAAGUCAGAAGUGAAAACCCGGGGCUCAACUCCGCGGAUUGCUUUUGAAACUAUCAGACUGGAGUACCGGAGAGGUAAGCGGAAUUCCUAGUGUAGCGGUGAAAUGCGUAGAUAUUAGGAGGAACACCAGUGGCGAAGGCGGCUUACUGGACGGUAACUGACACUGAGGCACGAAAGCGUGGGGAGCAAACAGG